rnacentral:rRNA from 1 species
CGGUGUUUAACUGGCGUGAUGUGGGACGUCCUACCGGUGGGCUUAGCCUCGCGAGGGGCGGCCCAACUAAUAUCCCGUCGCGGUGCUCUUUACUGAGUGUCGAGUCGGGCCGGUACGUUUACUUUGAACAAAUUAGAGUGCUUAAAGCAGGCUAUCCUCGCCUGAAUACUGCGUGCAUGGAAUAAUGGAAUAGGACCUCGGUUCUAUUUUGUUGGUUUUCGGAACCCCGAGGUAAUGAUUAAUAGGGACAGAUGGGGGCAUUCGUAUUGCGACGUUAGAGGUGAAAUUCUUGGAUCGUCGCAAGACGGACAGAAGCGAAAGCAUUUGCCAAAAAUGUUUUCAUUAAUCAAGAACGAAAGUUAGAGGUUCGAAGGCGAUCAGAUACCGCCCUAGUUCUAACCAUAAACGAUGCCAGCUAGCGAUCCGCCGAAGUUCCUCCGAUGACUCGGCGGGCAGCUUCCGGGAAACCAAAGCUUUUGGGUUCCGGGGGAAGUAUGGUUGCAAAGCUGAAACUUAAAGGAAUUGGCGGAAGGGCACCACCAGGAGUGGAGCCUGCGGCUUAAUUUGACUCAACACGGGAAACCUCACCAGGCCCAGACACCGGAAGGAUUGACAGAUUGAUAGCUCUUUCUUGAUUCGGUGGGUGGUGGUGCAUGGCCGUUCUUAGUUGGUGGAGCGAUUUGUCUGGUUAAUUCCGAUAACGAACGAGACUCUAGCCUGCUAAAUAGGCGUACCUUAUGGUAUCGCGAAGGCCCCCGGCUUCGGCCGGUGGGUUUUUACUACCAACGUACAAACAAAUCUUCUUAGAGGGACAGGCGG